CCCGUGAUCUCUAUGCUUUUUGCUUUUGCUGUCAUUCUGAAAAAAAUGUGAUCUAUAUUAUAUUGUAUUACACACUAUUUUCUUAGCAUGUUUUGUCUUAUACAAUUAUUUCUUGGGAUGCUAUUUUUAAUUUUAUGCUAUGAUUUUUUUGUAAUGAAUGAUAAGCUAUUCAAUAACACAAGUAAGUUUGAAAAAAUAUUACAGUCUAUUCCAGUUCAAAUUCCCUAGAUGCAUAGCGUUCGUGAAAUGAAAACGUGAACAUGAGAUUGAUUUUAUUUAUGGUAAGAAACUCCAUCAAUCGAGCGCCUAAAGCUUAUUUGACAACUAUGCAGCCAACACCACAAGCCACUGUGAGCCAACACUCGGAACUCAUGGACUCGAUUUUGAAGCUCACAAUGAGUGACCUCGCGAAUCGAUUACCAGUUUAAUAUUCUUACUUAGCUUUUUUUUCGAUUUAAUAUUUCUUUAUUAGGUGAAUUUGUUGUUAAAAAACCUCUUUUCUUUUUUUACAAAAAAAGAAUUAUUACAAUAGAGAUACCCUAAGUUUUUGUUGUU
rnacentral:lncRNA from 1 species